GCAGCGGUGGUUCAGGGUAGAAUUCUCGCCUUCCAAGCAGGAGACCUGGGUUCAAUUCCCAGCCAGUGCA
rnacentral:tRNA from 1 species